rnacentral:tRNA from 1 species
ACGCUGUUAGCUCAGUGGGAUAGAGCAAUUGCCUUCUGAGCAAUCGGUCACUGGUUCGAAUCCAGUGUGGCGCACCA